GGAUAAAAGCUACCCCGGGGAUAACAGGCUUAUCUCCCCCAAGAGUUCACAUCGACGGGGAGGUUUGGCACCUCGAUGUCGGCUCAUCGCAUCCUGGGGCUGUAGUCGGUCCCAAGGGUUGGGCUGUUCGCCCAUUAAAGCGGUACGCGAGCUGGGUUCAGAACGUCGUGAGACAGUUCGGUCCCUAUCCGUCGUGGGCGUAGGAAAUUUGAGAGGAGCUGUCCUUAGUACGAGAGGACCGGGAUGGACAUACCUCUGGUGUACCAGUUGUCGUGCCAACGGCAUAGCUGGGUAGCUAUGUAUGGACGGGAUAAGUGCUGAAAGCAUCUAAGCAUGAAGCCCCCCUCGAGAUGAGAUUUCCCAACUUCGGUUAUAAGAUCCCUCAAAGAUGAUGAGGUGAAUAGGUUCGAGGUGGAAGCGUAGCGAUACGUGGAGCUGACGAAUACUA
rnacentral:rRNA from 1 species